GAUUUGGGGAGCCCAGACUUGCCAAUGGGUAAGUGAGUCUAGUCAAGAUGCAGGAUUUCAGAAAACUCACUCAGAAGAGCAGGCUGAAGAUAAAGGAGGCAUCAUUCAGCAGCAAUAACCAACUCAUUUCCUUCUCUAGAAAGCGAGGAACCAAGAAUCUGGUCACAGGAUUUUACCAGCGCAAAGGAUUAAUCCACCCAUUUGAUGGCCAAGAAACCAACCAGUGAGAGCAGGAAGCAAGAACACUUCGAGACAGGACAGUGAGCUGGACAACAUUGCCUCAUUAUUUCAGCUGCUUGUGAAGGAGGUCAUGAGGAUGGAGUUCUCAUGAAUGAGAUGAGUGCCCUUGUAGAACAGACCCAAGAGAGACUCUUGCUCCUUACAUCAUGUGAAGACACGGAAAGAAGGUAUCAUCUAUGAAUCAGGAAACCGUUCCUUGAUCUUGGACUUCCCAGUCUCCAGAACUGUGAGAAAUAAAUGUUUCUGGUUUAUAAGCCA
rnacentral:lncRNA from 1 species